rnacentral:rRNA from 1 species
CACCGCGGUCAAACGAGGUUGUGCCCGAGCAGAUGACCAACGGCGUAAAGAGUGGUUAGGGAAACCCGCAACUAAAGCUGAAUGCCCACAAAGCCGUGAUACGCAUCCGAUGACAUGAAACCCCACCACGAAAGUGACUUUAACCCAACCCGAACCCACGACAGCUAGGACA